GACAGAGGCCUCAAGCGUUAGGCGGAAUCACUGGGCGUAAAGCGUGCGUAGGUGGUGAGUUAAGUCUGAUGUGAAAUCCCCGGGCUCAACCUGGGAAUGGCAUUGGAUACUGGCUCGCUAGAGUGCGGUAGAGGGUGGUGGAAUUCCCGGUGUAGCAGUGAAAUGCGUAGAGAUCGGGAGGAACAUCUGUGGCGAAGGCGGCCACCUGGACCAACACUGACACUGAGGCACGAAAGCGUGGGGAGCAAACAGG
rnacentral:rRNA from 1 species